rnacentral:lncRNA from 1 species
CAGGGUUUCUCUGUAUAACAGCCCUAGCUGUCCUGGAAUUAGCUGUGUAGAUCAGGCUGGCCUCUUAACUAUCAUAGAUUUGCCUGUCUCUGUCUUCCAAGUGCUGGGAUUGAAGCUAUACACCAUCACCGCCUGGCUCAAUACUGGGAUUAAAUGUGUGUGCCACCACCUGGAUGACCUGAAUUGUUACUCAUUCUGGAUAGGCUGACCAGUUGUCUGGUGGUUACUGCUACUGAUCCAUCCCAACUGCUGGACUUCUCCUUCAUACCCAAGGCCUCCAGGCAGUAUCUAUGUGGAGUCAACACUAAAAGGGAGCAGACACCAUUUCCCAGGCCCUUUAUUCUGGUGACUGAUGGAAGAGUGGGAGGGCAAUAUAUUUACUUGUUUAAUGGGUGGAAAAACAGAUCAAGGUACUGUACCUCUUCAGUUUCUAUUCUGAGUUCUGCAACUAUGCCACUUGGAUUGUAUAUAUUGGGGGAGGUUGAAAAUGUGUCUUUCAUUAGAAGUGUCUUGAGGGGAUAUAGUCAGUGUGAAAUAUGUUGAAGUCCUGAAAUAAUGUGCCCAUCUGAGGAAUUAAAAAAAAAAAGUUUGUAAAAAUACCAUAGAUGGAGCCUGCCUGCUCAUUUCCCCACCACAGAUUUUUUGGACUGGAGGCACAUGUUUAAUAGUAGUUUGUCUCUGAUAUUCACAGUAGCUACCCCUAUGUGAGGAAAGGAUAGAAAACAUUCAAGACUUCAUGUGGGCUUAUGAUCUACAGAUUCCAACCAGUAGCAGUGGCUGACUCCUACACAGAAGACUGGGAACUGCAAACAGACUGGGGUCACCUCAGUGACAUCUGACGCUGUCCAACCAGAAGUCUGACUUUUUUUUCGGGGAAGAGGGGCGGUGAAAAUGUUCUAAGAGAC